ACGGACGUACAUCUAAUUAAUAAAUCUCCUCAACAACAAUCUAUAAAACUAUGCUAGUUACCAAUAUUUGUGUCUUUCCAAUUAAAUGUAACUACAAAUAAUAUGGCAGCCAAAAAACAUCUAAUACUUUUUAUUGCAAUUGUUCAAAUAAUAAAUCCAUGCUAUUAUGCAUCCAAAAUAUUCAGUAAAGAUGCAAUCUGCAAUGAAGUCGAUGCUUGCUUCGCGUAUUGCGAAGCUUAUAUCGAAGGGAUUGGUGCAAACCCAACCCACGAAUGUUGUGACAACUUACUUAUAUUGAAUGGCAGGGUAAAAUAUAUAGAUAAUGGAGUUCGUAGGUAUUGUUAUUGCAUCGAGGGAUUCAGUAACAGUCAUUAUCAUCCUCAUUAUCUGCAGUCUCGAAUCCAAAGUAUGACUAGCAUAUGUGGUAUUCAUCGGAGCUUCCCCAUCUCUGAACAUAUGGACUGCUCUAAGCUUUAGUAAGAGACUUGAGUUUGUGGAAUAUUGGCUGUUCUCUCAAUAUUUUUAUUUUCUUUCUUUGACACUACGUUAUCUAGGUUAAUAAGUUUGCAUAUAUGUAGUUUUGUAUUUAAGCUAAUGGCAGAUCCAAGAUUUAGAUAUAAGUGGAUCUUGGUCAUUGAGAAAUAGAUUCAAAUAUAUGUAAAUAACUCUAUAUAUGCAUGUUUUCUUGCAAAACAUAUUAUAUGAUCAGAUCUCGAAAUACUGAAUUUUAUC